rnacentral:sRNA from 1 species
AUAUCUCUCUGUACGGGAAGGAUGAGAAGCUUCGACCAGGGUUCUAUUCGAGCGCAGCGAGAAAGCGUUGCCGCAGGCAACGACCCGAAGGGCGAAGCGCGCAGCGCUGAGUCAUCCUUCCCCCACCACCA